CGGCCGGUGAAUGAUCGCCGAUAUUCUAGAAUAUUCUCGACACUACUGGACCUUUCUCAAGUCCAACUCUAUACCUCUACCAGCUCCCCAACGGAGCUCACUCUGCAACUGCGAGAAACGCUGCCGCCGUGACAACAUACGUUUUUGCAGUAUCUUUCUAGAAAUUGAGAAAGAGAAGAAUGUUCGGCGUGGUGUUCCCGAACCGGAGCUUCCCAAUGGACAUCUCCACCUUCGCUCAAAUCGAUACAACCCAUUGGAUUCUCGACAUGAAAACUUUUGUCGGGGAGGCCUACGAUUCGAUUCGGGAGCUCUGCAUCUUCCUCCUCAACGGCCUUACCCUGCCGCCAGAAAAAGCCCUAGCGGUGUACAUCCAGUCGCCCGGAUCGGCCUUCCUCUACUGUGGGGCGGUGACGGUGGCUCGACCGUCAGCGGUGCUGUCGCUGCCGUGGCCGGAGCCCGGUGGUCAGCUUCAGCUCAUGGCCCCGGACGCCUCCCCGCUCUCCGCGAAGAUCGGCGUCUCGGUGGAGGACCUCGCCACCCUCCCCUCCCUCGACGUCGCCGCUGAGAAGCGGAUCGAACAUUUGGCGAUGAAGGUCGGCGAGAAUCUGUUCAAUUUCAUGCAAUCGUUCUGCGGCGUCGACGGUAGCAAGCUUAUUGUGCCCAUGGAUAUAUUGGAUAGGUGGUUCAAGAAAUUCCAAGAUCGCGCUAAGCGUGAUCCUGAGUAUCUCAAGGGUUUUGCGUUGUAGUUUAGGAGUUUGAUCAGUAAUUUGCUGGAGGUAAUAGCACAUAUCGGAGAAUUCUUUUGUUUCAAGAAAUGGCAUGAUGGCAUAAGUCAUAACAAACAAAGAGAAGUUGCUUCUGAAGGGAAAUUACCAGAAGUUGUCCGGUUUGCAUUUGAACGUGACGUAGACCCCCAUUCCUAGAGAAGGAGCUUUUUACAUUGGCUGGACUUGUUCGUGUUAAUGCACAUGCU